rnacentral:rRNA from 1 species
UACGGGGGGGGCAAGCGUUGUUCGGAAUUACUGGGCGUAAAGGGCUCGUAGGCGGCCGACUAAGUCAGACGUGAAAUCCCCCGGCUUAACCGGGGAACUGCGUCUGAUACUGGAUGGCUUGAGUUUGGGAGAGGGAUGCGGAAUUCCAGGUGUAGCGGUGAAAUGCGUAGAUAUCUGGAGGAACACCGGUGGCGAAGGCGGCAUCCUGGACCAACACUGACGCUGAGGAGCGAAAGCCAGGGGAGCAAACGGG